AUUGAACGCUGGCGGAAUGCUUUACACAUGCAAGUCGAACGGCAGCACGGACUUCGGUCUGGUGGCGAGUGGCGAACGGGUGAGUCAUGUAUCGGAACGUGCCCAGUCGUGGGGGAUAACGUAGUGAAGAUUACGCUAAUACCGCAUACGAUCUAUGGAUGAAAGCGGGGGAUCGCAAGACCUCGCGCGCUUGGAGCGGCCGAUAUCAGAUUAGGUAAUUGGUGGGGUAAAGGCCCACCAAGCCAACGAUCUGCAGCUGGUCUGAGGGGACGACCAGCCACACUGGAAGUGAGACACGGUCCAGACUCCUACGGGAGGCAGCAGUGGGGAAUUUUGGACAAUGGGCGAAAGCCUGAUCCAGCCAUUCCGCGUGCAGGAUGAAGGCCCUCGGGUUGUAAACUGCUUUUGUACAGAACGAAAAGGUUUCUACUAAUACUAGGAGCUCAUGACGGUACUGUAAGAAUAAGCACCGGCUAACUACGUGCCAGCCGCCGCCGUAA
rnacentral:rRNA from 1 species